GUUUGUUUGAUAUUUGUUGACAAGCAUAUGGACAAAUUAAUUUGGUGAAAAAUUUUAAAGUUUAACUUUUUAUUAAAGUUUUUCUUUAAAAAACACAUUAAGAAGUAGAAGCUAUACAUUUACUUUUACAAAAUGAAUACCAAACAAAUAUGUAGAUGCUGCCUGGUAAUGGAUGUGCCUCUCUUGUCCAUAUACGAUGGUGGUUCACCUGGAGUGAGUUGUGUUGCUGACAUGCUUAAACAAAUAGCAAAAUUAAAGCCUCAAUCCGGUGACAAUAUGCCCGACAAAGCCUGUCAGCAAUGCAUAAGUGAAAUCAAUCGUUGUUAUAUCUUCAAAAUGAAAUGUGAAAAUGCAAAUAGAACGCUUAGACAAAUAUUUACAGAUGCAGUACCUGAACCUUUAGAUUGCGUGCCAAAGAAAGUUGAAUUGGUCUCAUCCUCAAUGCAGACAGAAGAUAAAAUACUUAUAUCAUCUAUGGUACAAACAAUAGCAGAAGUGAAACCUCUUUUAGCCCAUAGUAGUGCCCAAACUAUUAAUGUCAAAAAACCAUCCUUAAUACACAACAUCGUACAGACAAUUAUAGAAGAUAAGCCACUUGUAAGUCAUAAAGAAAUACAAACUGAAUAUGAGAUUCUACCAACUGAUGUAGCAAUCCCUGACAAUUCCUUACCCGAGAGCAUUAUUAUAUAUGAAGAAAUUGAUAAUAGUAAUACAAAUGUGAAAAAGAGAUUGCCCACUUCGCCGCUAAAUAAGCAGGUUUCAAAGAAAAUAUGUCUCGAAACAAGAAAAACAAAUAAUUUACAAACUUUAACGGAAACAGAAACUAAUGCUCAAUCAUCAAAUACCUAUAUAUUAUAUGAAGAUUCUCAUGCAGAUUCAAAUAGUUCAGAAGCAGAGGAACUUUACAUACCUACCACAGAACAAACACAAGAAGAAGGUGAAAGUAAUCGUUUUGAAUACUAUGAAAAUGAAAUAGAAGAUACGCAAGAUGAACAAGACGAUAGCCAGUUGUAUCAAGAUAAUAUUAUGGUCUAUAAUGAAAACUUCAAAAGCAAUAGUGAAUAUGAAAUUGAUAUUUCACAAACCAUCGAAAAGUCUCCUGAGCAAUCUGAGGAAUAUUUAAAAUCUCAAAAAACAACUAAAACAUCGUACAAAUCAAAAGGUCAAUACAAAUGUUCACAAUGUAUAAUGACAUUUGUUAGUAUUAAAGUUUUAAAACGACAUUUAGCUAAUCGUCAUAAUAUUAAAGAUGCUGAACUUAUAAUAGAUUAUUUGCCGAAUCCCGAGACAGAUGAAGCAUCACAAGAUGAACAGCCUUCGUCUUCGGAUAAUGUUAGCAAAUCAAUUAAUUCCAGCAUAGAAUUAACAGCUGAGAAUGUUCCAAAGCCGCAGUUAUUGCCUAGAGAAAAAGUAACAUCUUCGGUUAAUGAAGAAUUACUGACAAACAUGAAGUAUUUUUGUGAUUAUUGUCAAGCUGGAUUUGCUCAACGUAAAACUUUAACAUCACAUAUAAAAAAUCAAAUCUGUAUGACAAACAAUUUUAAGUGCAAUAAAUGUGAGCGCAUUUUCAUUUCUGAGGAAAAUUUGGAAACUCAUAAACUAACACAUGAAAAUCCACACAAAUGUUUAGAAUGUGAUACUGUAUUCAAAACCAUAGAGGAACUUAGUGAACAUAUGAUUGAGAAUCAUAAUCGAAAUGCUCGUAAUCAAUGUCAUGUUUGCAAAAAAGUUUUUACCAUGAAAACAUCUUUAAUGGAUCACCUGCGCAUACAUAGUGGAGAAAAACCAUUUCUCUGUACAAUAUGCGGCAAAAGUUUUAAUCAAAAUUCAAAUCUACGACAGCAUUUGACACGUCAUAAUAAUGAGAAAAACUUUAAAUGUGAUAUGUGUCCAAAUGCCUAUGUCACAAAAGCAGAACUAUUUUCCCAUAAACGCACACAUACAGGUGAUCAGCCUUUUAAAUGUGAUAUUUGUGAGGCACGCUUUACUUCAAAUUGUUCAUUGAAAAAACAUGUACGUAAACAUACAGGUGAAAGACCUUAUGCUUGUGAAUUUUGUCCCAUGCGUUUUGCCGCUUUAAAUGUUUUGAAAAAUCAUCGACGUAUUCAUACGGGAGAAAAACCUUUUAAAUGCAACUAUUGUUCAAAAUCCUUUGCGCAAAAAGGUGAUUGUGAAAUGCACAAAAAAACUCAUCUCAAUAAUGAUUUUAAAUGUGUUUGUGAAUCGAAAUUUUCGAAAAAAUCCAAUUUUCGUCAUCACAUUAAAACUCAACAUCCGGAUUUUAGUGAUAAAGAAGUGCAUGCUUUACUAAAUAAAUCAAAUAAGGGCAAUGAUAGUCAAGAAGAAUAUCAAAUAACAUUAAUAGAUGAUUCUAGUGAGAAAUUUGUUAAUAGUCCUACUGAUGACAAUGAAAAUGAUGGUGAAUCAUCGUUUGUAACGAUAGCUCAUGUUAGUAAAAAUGUUACAAAAACUGAUGCCAGUGCUUCUAAUGAUAAUGAUGAUUUUAUGGAAAUUGAAAUGGAAGAGAUGUAAGGUUAGAAAGAAAUAAUGCAAUUAAAUUUAUUCAAAAUCAAGAUACAUAUCAAGAUCAAGCAAGAUACACACUAACACAAGUUUGGCUAAUGAAACCUAAUUGCCGGUACAGAUGAAAAGUUUAAUCCAUUUCCGUUCUCACGACAAUUGGAUCUCGCUCCGGAACAACUCGAUUCUCAAUCGGUCAACUCAGAUUUUUCCCAACAACAACAAGUUUAAUCCCUUAACACGACAACCGGUUCUUUGCACCGGAGUUUGACUGGGAGUUCAAUGAAGAAUUGCCUAAUAUUGUCAACUCAGCCAAACCAACAUUGCACCUGUUGCUGCCACAACAACAACAAGUUAAAUUUAUAAAAGGAUUCAUUUAAAGUGUAAACAAACAAAGAAGCUAAGUACAAUUGAACUUAAACUAUGGAUAACAUAAAGAAUAUCAAUAAACCAAUAAUUUAACAAAAAGUCUUAUAAAAACUGUGUGCAAUAAUUAUAAGAAAACUAUGAACAGCCUAAAUGUUUUCAAAAUCCAACAAAAAAACAAACUCAUGUGACUACUUUC
rnacentral:misc_RNA from 1 species